rnacentral:misc_RNA from 1 species
AUCCAGAGAAUCAGCGACGACUAGCGGCCCCCCUCUUAUCCUCUGAGCGGGUACAGACGUCAGAUGAGCGUACCUUCGCUGCAUCGAAGCGACCGCAGCGGCGAUCCUACUCGGGACCGCGCCCACUAUGUGAGGGCGCAGCGGCAGCACCUUGUGCGCGAGACACGAAUGCUACAGAUGGCGCUGGAGGAGCUGCAGGAGGAAGCGGAGCGGGCAAACAGCGAAGAAGCGUUGGUGCGCCGUGCAAUAGACACGACGCAUCGCGAGCUGCUGCGGUGCCUUCUUCAUCUUGCCUUAACUGAGCAGGAUUCAACGAGAGGCACAGUGGCGGCAUCCGGCGCACAAGCGCAGUACGACGCAACAAGCGCCAUCAUCUGUGAGGUAUUGCGGAGGUAUAAGCGCGAUCAAGACGCAUUCACGCAGGAGGCCAAGCAGCGCUUGGAGAGUAUCAGAGAAGAAGCGCGACAGGCGUGCGUGAACGUCGGCGACACCCUCGCCGUGCCACAAGGUGAGCAUGCUCACAGCAGUGGUGUCGGCACCAUUGUAGAAGCAACUGAACUCGACUCCCCUCGCAGUGCCUUGGAGGCGCUGCGCGAGAUGAAGGCCGAGGUGGACGAGGAGACGGAGGCCACGCUGCUGAGCAUCGGCCGCACGCUGUUUUGCUGACUCCCGCGUUGUCCGUCUUCUUUCAAUUUGCCUCUGAUAUACUCUCCCCUUCCACUUCCCCCACUAAGAGGACGGCGGCACACCCGAAGUGACGGGUGGGGGGGGUGUGCAGGGAGGCCGUUGCUCCUGCUAGGAAGGAGGUCCGGUGAAUGGACUGCACACGCACUCACAUAUGCGAGGCCCGAGGCGACGCGGCCUGUCUGUCUGCUCCCUCCUUACGCGAUCACUGUUGUUUUCCUGGAUCCUUUCCCUAUAAAAAAAAACAAUGGAGAAUGAAAUGAGGUAUGCUGCUACUGCCCAAACGCAUGAGCGCGCCUGCGCGACAAACUGCGCUGUGCUGCUGUCCUCGUCGCCCUUCUUUUCGUCGCCGACGAGAUGCAUUUUUUCCCUCUCUGCCAUGGACGCAGACGGGAGUGCAUAUCUACUCCCGCCCGCCCGCCUCUUCUCCCCCCUUCGCUUCUCUGGUCACGGCACACAAUGGGGCUUUCGUUUGCACGCACGAUGCACCCAUCACCUCUCUACAUGGUCUUGCACGCGUCUCACUCUCAUCUCUCGCUCUCCCCCACCACUAUUACGACGACUGCUGCACCCACUGUCGCGGCGAAG